rnacentral:rRNA from 1 species
UACGUAGGGGGCAAGCGUUAUCCGGAUUUACUGGGUGUAAAGGGAGCGUAGACGGCGAUGCAAGCCAGAUGUGAAAGCCCGGGGCUCAACCCCGGGACUGCAUUUGGAACUGUGUGGCUGGAGUGUCGGAGAGGCAAGUGGAAUUCCUAGUGUAGCGGUGAAAUGCGUAGAGAUUAGGAGGAACACCAGUGGCGAAGGCGGCUUGCUGGACGAUGACUGACGUUGAGGCUCGAAAGCGUGGGGAGCAAACAGG